UAAAUUUUGUUUAUUUAAUUUUUGGUAUUGCAUAUCAUUUAAAGAAAAUUUUAUAAUAAUGAAAUAUAGAAUUAAAAGGUAGAAUUUUUUUUAUCUUUAUUGUUUCAUAAUAAAGAUUAAAAAUUUUAGGGUUGAAAAGUCGACUUUUAAGAUAUCUGUUUUUUGUUGUUUAUUAGAAAUUUAUAAAAAUUUUUUGUUUUAUUUGUAAAUAGUAAAAGUUGAAGUAUUUAUAUUUUUAGUUUUAUAACUGUUUAUGUAUUAAUAUAAUGUGUUAAGUUGUUUUAAUUCAUUAAAUUUUUAGUGAAUAUAUUAUUUUGGAAUUAGUAAAUUUAAAAAAUUUAGUAGGUCAAAUAAAUAUAAUAAAAUAACUAAAAGGUUAAUCAAAUGUUUUUUAAAGACUUAGACUUUUAAAUAAAGUUUGCUUCUGCCCAAUGAUUUUUUUAGAAAUGGCAGUCUUAGCGUGAGGACAUUAAGGUAGCAAAAUAAUUUGUGCUUUUAUUGAGUUCCAGUAUGAAUGAAGUUAUUGGUUAAUUAUUUUUUUAUUUUUUUUGAAUUUUAUUACAGUAUAAAAAAAUAUUGUUAUAAUUAUACAAAGAUAAGUCUUCGGAAAUUCUUUUAAAUAUUUAAUAAGUUAUUUAUUAAGUUUUUAAAUUUUCUAGGGCAGAAUUUUAUAUAAUUUGUUAAUCUAUUAAUAAAUUUUAGAAUUACUCCGGAGUUAACAGAAAAUCAUACCUAAUCUAGUUCUUAUAGUAAGGUAAGUUUUACAUCGAUGUUGUAUUUAAGUUUUUUAAGAAAGGAGAAGAUUUAAUUAUUAAGACUGUUCUUCUUUAAUUUAACUUAACGUGAUAUUAGUUUAAUUCAUUGUGAGAUAGAAUUGUUUAUCUUGAUAAUUAUUUUUUUUUAAUUUUAAUAGUACGAAAGGAAAAUUAAAAAAAGUUUAAAACUUUAAAAGGUUGAUCCUUA
rnacentral:rRNA from 1 species